rnacentral:misc_RNA from 1 species
UCCCGGUUGGCCCGGGCAGUCUCGUCUGAAAAAUUCAACAGACGACAAGGGUUGCGCUCGUUGCGGGACUUAACCCAACAUCUCACGACACGAGCUGACGACGGCCAUGCAACACCUGUCACUAGGCUCCCGAAGGCACUCCCCUGUUUCCAGGGGAUUCCUAGGAUGUCAAGCCUUGGUAAGGUUCUUCGCGUAGCUUCGAAUUAAACCACAUGCUCCACCGCUUGUGCGGGUCCCCGUCAAUUCCUUUGAGUUUUAAGCUUGCGCUCGUACUCCCCAGGCGGGGUGCUUAACGCGUUAGCUUCACAGCCCAGGGGGUCGAUACCCCGAACUAUUAGCACCCAUCGUUUACGGCGUGGACUAC